GAGAGAAAGAGGGGUCCGGCCGGUCCGUGGUGGUCCGCGCCCUCCGUGGCCCGCGGGCCCCAGGGCCUUGUCGGUGGGCGUGAGCGGCUGGCAGGGCUUAAUCUCUGCGUGGUAGUUUUUGCAUCAUCAGCAGUUUGAUUCAGCCAAUCCUUACUGAAGGACCAAAACUAUGCAAGAUGCCUUGUUAUUCAGAUUAGAUACAGACUGUACCUAUGGAUUUAUUCAGCUUGCAAUAUUAAAUGCACACUGUAUUGUAGAGUAUUUAGGACAAUUUCCUCCUGGUUUACUGAAAAGAACCAUUUCCGGAAAAAACAUUAAGGAAAUGAUCAACCAUAAUAAGAAUGGUGACCAGAAGUGAGAAAGAAGAGAAAAAUGUAACGUUUGUUGAAACUUGGAAGGAGGCAGCUUUUGACACCAGUUACUGACAUUCUGUCCUCGAGUGAAUGUGAACUUCUUAUGUGUUUGGUACUAAUACUUAAAUUGAGUAAGUCAGUAUCUGCUUUUUCCUUUUAAAAUUUAUUCUCCGCCAAGAAAUCAGUGCUCUUAUGCUGCCCUCUGGUGGCCAAACUAUCUCCUUAUUGAAAAACUUCCCCUGCCAGUCAGUCCUGUGCUGUGGGAACCUAGAGCCUAUUUGUGUAAUGCUCUUUCCCUACAAUGAGCAUGUUGAAAGAUGUCAAUAAUACAGGUAGAAAAGGUUUUCCUUCCUUUAAAUUUCAUAUUUUUUCAAAACUUACCUGAGUUUCCACAGAAGUCUUAUUGAAAAUUUCUACUAUGUAAAACAAUAAUGAUAUAUGAUGCAUGGUAUAUAAUAUGCAUAUUGUUAGAGUUCCUUCCCUAUUUAAAACUAAUACCUUUUUUUUUUCUAAAAUUUUUCCUCCUACCUAUCCCCCUUUUCUGUUUUUUCUUCAGUACUAAGAAUCAUACAGGGCUUUAUCCAUUAUUUUUGAAAUUAGAAAGAAUUUGCUUCUUUAUAAUGAUACUUGUGUUUAUAUUGGUUGUACAAAUACUAUCUCUUUAGGUUAAUUUGAAAUCAAAAUUGAAAUGAAAAUUUUUGCCUGUGUUCUUGCUUGUUAACCUAGAAAAGCUCGCACUAUAAGUCAACUCUUUUGUACACGCCCCUCUUCCUGUUCUGUAAAUAUUUUUUGAGAUUUAUUUUUAAAUAAAUAUUCAACUU